ACCAUUUUGAUACUGAUUUUAAUGGUCAAGUUAGGGGGUAUACCUAUGAGAUCAGCCUACCUACAGUAAUAUACGGUAGUAGAUGUAGGAUUUUUCUAGACAAGCCCCGUUCCACAAAGCAAUGAUAGAGCUAUGACAAUUGUAAGUCUAUAAUAAAGUAUUGGACUUAUGAACAACUUAUCGCUACAACAGCUUUGUGCAAAGGAGCCCUACUCAGAAGGUGUAAGUCCGUGCCAGUUCAGAAAACAGCAGCAUCUAUUCCCACAUUGGGGCCGCCUCAGUUGUCAAGUGGAUAAAAAAACACCUGCCAGGAGAGCAAAGGUCAGUGAUUCAAUAUCCCUGGUCACCUCUUGCCAAUAGAGGGGCAGUGGGGUAACUUUGUGGUAAAAGUG